GGCGCUUACAUCCUUCUUCUUCGCCACCUCUCCGGCGAAUCGCCAUCUUCGGCGUUGCCGGAGCUCUCUCUUACUUCCCCUGCAACCUUUUCUCUUUUCAUCUCUUAAUCCCAAAACAAAAUCCCUAAAUUAGAAUCACAUCGAAGAACCCGGCGGCGUCUCCUUCUCGUGCUCGCCGCUGUUCCGGUCGGCGCCUCCUCUGCGUCGCCGGCAGCGCAUAGCACGCACCGCCGCUGCUCCAUCGUCCUCUCUCUCCGUCCCUUCUCUUCCUCGGCGGAAUCGCGCCUCACCUGCGUCGCCGGGUGAACUCGCCUCAGCGUUCUCCGACGAGCGCUCUCCAUCCAGCACCGGCGUCCUCGGCAAACCCAGCAGUAGAGAGGAGGCAUUGCCUCCUUCUCUCUCUCUCAGCUGCGGCCUGCAGCUGCUCCGCGGAAAUUUUCGGACUUCACCGACGCUCGCUCAUCGCCCGGCAGCCCCUCCGCCUAAGCUAAGCUUCCUCACCUUCCCCUUCUACUCAAAUUCUAACAAUAAAAACGAAAGCUUUGGGGCUCUCUAGUGCUUAUUGAUUUGAAACUUGGCUGUACUUAAUCACUGGAAGGAGCUUGCUAUUGUUUUUGCUACACUUAGUCUUGUUUCUAUGAUUGUCAUACUUGUGGUUUACUGAUUUAGGAGUAUCCCAUACUUGACUAAGCAUUGGUACCAUCUGUUGAUGUUCGGUUCUUUAUGCUUGCUACUGUUAUGACUAUUCUUUUGAGCUUCUAUGAAUCUAAGUUAUUGGCUAUCUAUUGCGUUUGAUCUACAUGAUGCGAUGGAGAUGGUUGUUGAGGUUGUUUACCUCACUUGCUGAACUUGUAUCGGUGGUGGUGAUUUUCGCCCUCGCUGCUUGCCACUCCUUCCUCUCCUCUUUGCUGCCCCGCGCUUGGUGUCGUGUGUGGUUGGCGGUGUCGAGUAGUGGGGUGGCGGAGGUGAAGGGAGAUGGCUCCUAUAUAGUGCUAAGCUAUUGGAAUCUAUGUUUGAGACUUGGAAGCAAAGGCUCCUAUUUUGGGGUUGCUAGCUCUUUCUCUUUCGAGCUUGAUGAUUGUGAGAUUCUUGCCGUUUUGGUGAUUGUGGCUGAUUUUCUUGGCUGAUUUCUCGGCCUUGAUCGACGGGGAGAUGAGAGUUUGACUCAUCUUCUACUUUGGGCUUGUGUACAUGGAGGCAUUCUUGAAGCUUGUGGAGGGGAGCAAAAUCGAGAAUAAGAAUGAGAGGGAAAGAAAGAAGAUGCUCCUCUUGAGCUCAUUUGGUUCUAUCCCCAAUUUAGUUUGCUUCCAAACUUGAGAAUUAAAGAAGUAGGAUAGAUAGUGUAGAAUAGGUGCAUGUUGAUUUUAU